GUUCAGGAGAAGACUGAGCAGUCAUGAGCUCAGUGCUCAGCUGAUGGUUGGAUGCACAGCAGCUGAGUGUGGAAACCUCCAGCGGUCACGACACCAGCGAGGAAGACGUCACAGACACAAGACUCCUCACAGUGUGUUGCAGUAACAAGCUAACAGGAGAAACGUUUAUCCGUCAGUGUAAGGAGACUGGCGACCGUUCACAUGACGGAGCACUUCUCCUCCGCUUUGCUCUUCAGCUCGGUGACGGUGGCCGAGGCCUUCUCCUUCAGCUGGUCCAUGUCCAUGUUCUGCAAGUUUUGAAACUGGCCCAUGAUGGACUCCUUGCCCUCCUCCUCCGUGGCGUCCUCGUCCACCAUCUUGAGCAGCUCCUCGGGCACGUCCACGUCGUCCCCGGCCAUCUCGAUCAUGUUCUCGUCCUGCUCGCUCUGCGGACGACAACAGGGAACAAGGUCAGAAGUGUCACCAUAGGCCUUUUUUUUGGCAUAUAAAGUCACCAGAACAUGAAACUGCUCGCUAAAGUUUCUUUUUUAGAGGGUUUUAAAAUUUAGAUUUUAUUAGCUUUGAAGCAUUUAUUCAUAAAUAUUCACAUUUUCUUCUUAGAGUUGCCUGUGUUUUCUCUCAAACUGUAAUAGAGGAGUUAAAAUAAUUCUCCACAAUGUCACUUCAGCACCAGCCAUGAGGCAUUUAUCUGUUUUUCCUGGUCCUAAAAUAUGGUGUAAUAUUUAUGGCACUGUAUUGUAAUUCACCAAAGUAAACAACCAAAAGCCAAGUCUGGCUUAAAGGCUUGUUAAAAGAUUAACAUACUGUCUGCCUUCCCUGGUUUCCACAACACACGGCACAUCUUCCCACUGCUGGACUCAAAUCUGACAGUCCUUCAGCACAUGUUGACCAUCGUUCGUAUUGUAUUGUCCUCUUUUGAUUUUACUUAAAAUGUAAAAAAUUGGUCUUUGUUUUUUAAGUAAAUCUUGAAG